rnacentral:rRNA from 1 species
UAGGGAAUCUUCGGCAAUGGACGAAAGUCUGACCGAGCAACGCCGCGUGAGUGAAGAAGGUUUUCGGAUCGUAGAACUCUGUUGUUAGAGAAGAACAAGGACGUUAGUAACUGAACGUCCCCUGACGGUAUCUAACCAGAAAGCCACGGCUAACUACGUGCCAGCAGCCGCGGUAAUACGUAGGUGGCAAGCGUUGUCCGGAUUUAUUGGGCGUAAAGCGAGCGCAGGCGGUUUCUUAAGUCUGAUGUGAAAGCCCCCGGCUCAACCGGGGAGGGUCAUUGGAAACUGGGAGACUUGAGUGCAGAAGAGGAGAGUGGAAUUCCAUGUGUAGCGGUGAAAUGCGUAGAUAUAUGGAGGAACACCAGUGGCGAAGGCGACUCUCUGGUCUGUAACUGACGCUGAGGCUCGAAAGCGUGGGGAGCAAACAGG